rnacentral:rRNA from 1 species
UACGGGGGGGGCGAAGCGUUGUUCGGAAUUACUGGGCGUAAAGGGCUCGUAGGCGGCCAACUAAGUCAGACGUGAAAUCCCUCGGCUUAACCGGGGAACUGCGUCUGAUACUGGAUGGCUUGAGUUCGGGAGAGGGAUGCGGAAUUCCAGGUGUAGCGGUGAAAUGCGUAGAUAUCUGGAGGAACACCGGUGGCGAAGGCGGCAUCCUGGACCGACACUGACGCUGAGGAGCGAAAGCCAGGGGAGCAAACGGG